GUUUCUCGAUGGGCCGCGCCGGUUGGCUCAUCGGUUUCUCUGGGUGUCGGCACAGUUAUUUACGAUCUCUUGCAUGCGGACCUUUCGUUAACUUCAGGUAUCUUUGCAGAUUAUCUGCCUGCAUCUAUUUACGUUCUUAUGCACGUGGACAUUUCUUCACCAGAAUAAUUUUUUUUGAUUUUUCAACUUUAAAUGAAAUAAACGACGAAAAUACUGCCAAGGUUAUUUUCAGUCAAGAAAAGCAAAAAUAAAAACAAUGGGAGAGAUAUCAACACCGAUAAUUUAUGCACCAAUGGGGAGCAAGUUUUUUAUUUAUUUGGCAGACACAAUAAUCUUUGAGACCUUUCCUUCCCUGUUCGCACUUUCGGAAAUUUACUUAAGUGAAACUAGGCGGAGCACAAUAAGGAGUCUGCGUCUGACUCUGCCGUUUACUUGGGCGAGGAAGGGCGAAAUGGAACAGAUUCACUUGGAUCUUAGAUCCCCGUGGAGAAGGUUGCGCCGAUGAUCAGUGCGCGGAGUAUGGCCGACGGGUUCCAUUGAUUUGGCAGAGAUGAGCCGCUGAGGCAAAGCCGGAACUGGUUUUUACUGCGGGCCUAUCUGAACCGAGCACUGGUCUCUUUGUUGCCGGAACCGUGGGUCGUUUCUAUUAUUAAGUAUCUUAUUGUUUUUGUGUGUUCGUCACGGGUCGCAUGUAAGCUUAAUGUUUUGAAUUAGUAUGUCUCGGAACAUUGUUUAAAAUAAAGCUUCGUUAUUCG